rnacentral:rRNA from 1 species
AUUGAACGCUGGCGGCAUGCUUUACACAUGCAAGUCGAACGGUAACAGGUUAAGCUGACGAGUGGCGAACGGGUGAGUAAUGCAUCGGAACGUGCCCGGUCGUGGGGGAUAACACUUCGAAAGAAGUGCUAAUACCGCAUACGAUCUAAGGAUGAAAGCGGGGGACCGUAAGGCCUCGCGCGAUUGGAGCGGCCGAUGUCAGAUUAGGUAGUUGGUGGGGUAAAGGCUCACCAAGCCGACGAUCUGUAGCUGGUCUGAGAGGACGACCAGCCACACUGGGACUGAGACACGGCCCAGACUCCUACGGGAGGCAGCAGUGGGGAAUUUUGGACAAUGGGCGCAAGCCUGAUCCAGCAAUGCCGCGUGCAGGAAGAAGGCCUUCGGGUUGUAAACUGCUUUUGUACGGAGCGAAAGGGCUCUCUCUAAUACAGGGGGCUGAUGACGGUACCGUAAGAAUAAGCACCGGCUAACUACGUGCCAGCCGCCGCCGUAA